UUACUGGGCGUAAAGAGCUCGUAGGUGGUUUGUCGCGUUGUUCGUGAAAUCUCACGGCUUAACUGUGAGCGUGCGGGCGAUACGGGCAGACUUGAGUACUGCAGGGGAGACUGGAAUUCCUGGUGUAGCGGUGGAAAGCGCAGAUAUCAGGAGGAACACCGGUGGCGAAGGCGGGUCUCUGGGCAGUAACUGACGCUGAGGAGCGAAAGCGUGGGGAGCGAACAGGAUUAGAUACCCUGGUAGUCCACGCCGUAAACGGUGGGUACUAGGUGUGGGUUUCCUUCCUUGGGAUCCGUGCCGUAGCUAACGCAUUAAGUACCCCGCCUGGGGAGUACGGCCGCAAGGCUAAAACUCAAAGAAAUUGACGGGGGCCCGCACAAGCGGCGGAGCAUGUGGAUUAAUUCGAUGCAACGCGAAGAACCUUACCUGGGUUUGACAUGCACAGGACGCCGGCAGAGAUGUCGGUUCCCUUGUGGCCUGUGUGCAGGUGGUGCAUGGCUGUCGUCAGCUCGUGUCGUGAGAUGUUGGGUUAAGUCCCGCAACGAGCGCAACCCUUGUCUCAUGUUGCCAGCGGGUAAUGCCGGGGACUCGUGAGAGACUGCCGGGGUCAACUCGGAGGAAGGUGGGGAUGACGUCAAGUCAUCAUGCCCCUUAUGUCCAGGGCUUCACACAUGCUACAAUGGCCGGUACAAAGGGCUGCGAUGCCGCGAGGUUAAGCGAAUCCUUUUAAAGCCGGUCUCAGUUCGGAUCGGGGUCUGCAACUCGACCCCGUGAAGUCGGAGUCGCUAGUAAU
rnacentral:rRNA from 1 species